GCGUUUCCAUUGCCCUCAGCCUGUCGGUCGGCCAAGGCGCCCUGAGGUGUGGGAAAAAGCCCAAUCCCUUAAUUUCUCAUUCCUUCUAUGCAUGUGCCGGAACAGAAAAACUUGUAUAAGAUCAAAAGAAGUCCUUCUCUUAUGCCGGGUCUGGGGGAGGAAGAAUUGAAUCCGCCUGGAGCGAGCCUAGUCUGGGAUCUUUUCCCAUAGCCUUCUUUAUUCUUUUAAAACCAGGUCUUUCUUUCGUAUGGGACGUGGGAUCUUUUUUUUCCUAAAUCCAUUCACCUUGCUAGCCUAAGGCCUUAAUUAAGAGUUAUCCCUUCUAACCAAACCAAAGGGAAACCAAGGAAAGCAGUCAAGCCUCAACCAGUGCCAUCCUCAAAUAACCCAAUGGCGU
rnacentral:lncRNA from 1 species